rnacentral:rRNA from 1 species
GACGAACGCUGGCGGCGUGCUUAACACAUGCAAGUCGAACGGAAAGGCCCUGCUUGCAGGGUACUCGAGUGGCGAACGGGUGAGUAACACGUGGGUGAUCUGCCCUGCACUUCGGGAUAAGCCUGGGAAACUGGGUCUAAUACCGGAUAGGAGCCAUUUUUAGUGUGAUGGUUGGAAAGUUUUUUCGGUGUAGGAUGAGCUCGCGGCCUAUCAGCUUGUUGGUGGGGUAAUGGCCUACCAAGGCGGCGACGGGUAGCCGGCCUGAGAGGGUGGACGGCCACAUUGGGACUGGGAUACGGCCCAGACUCCUACGGGGGGCAGCAGGGGGGAAUAUUGCACAAUGGGCGCAAGCCCGAUGCAGCGACGCCGCGUGGGGGAUGACGGCCUUCGGGUUGUAAACUCCUUUCGCUAGGGACGAAGCUUUUUGUGACGGUACCUAGAUAAGAAGCACCGGCUAACUACGUG